rnacentral:lncRNA from 1 species
AUAUACUAUUAAAUCAGGGCGACAGUAGCUUCAAAACUCUUUUUUUGUGACAUGUCUUUGGCACUUCAAUAAAAAUAUGAUGUCCCAUGUGGCUAGAGUACAGAGUGCAUAGACGGAUAGAGUGGAAAAUAUAACGGGAUGUUUCUGGUGAACAAAUCAUCAAAACACUAAUGCAAGAUGCAUUAGAGCUUAGCAAAAGCUUUAUGUGGAGCUGAAGAAGGUUAUCUUCAGUUUUCUUUGUAAAAACUCAUUUUCUUAAAAUCAAGUAUAUCAUAUUGCAUGCUCAGCAUAUAUUAACUUUCAGAUUUUAAAUGGACUCAGUUUCAUGUUAAGAAACAGCUGUUAAAAUACUUAGGGAAUAUAAGACAUAGUAUUAUCUAAAAUAAAGUUGUGAAGUUGGUAU